rnacentral:rRNA from 1 species
GACAGAGGCCUCAAGCGUUAGGCGGAAUCACUGGGCUUAAAGCGUGUGUAGGCGGAUCGUUAAGUGCCUUGUGAAAUCCCACGGCUCAACCGUGGAACUGCUGGGUAUACUGGGCGUCUUGGGCCAUUCAGGGGCGACUGGAACAAGCGGUGGAGCGGUGAAAUGCGUAGAUAUCGCUUGGAACGCCGAAGGUGAAAACAGGUCGCUGGGGAUGUGCCGACGCUGAGACACGAAAGCCAGGGGAGCAAACGGG